ACACUGGAAAUGGGGCCGAGACAAUGUGCAUUCUUUUGUUCUGUUUUUUGUUUUUGGCUCAGAAACACGGAUUUGGAAGCUUCCCUCAUUCCUCCCACCAAAAGCCUUCAGAGCAGACUGAGCAUGACAGGGGAAACCAGUGCCUCGGGGACACCGGAGUGGAAAGGUAUCACUCCUGUCUUCUCCUGAUUCCUGCAUCAUUCCAGAAUAUGAAGGGGUUACAAACUUCAAGGUUUCAGUGUUUUGAAUGUCUUGGACAAAAAGUUGAGCUAGAAAACCUGUGAUUACAGGACCCAGCAUGACAGGAAUUCUCAAUGAUUCAUUUAAAAGUGGCAUAAAGUGUUACAUAUAUAUAUAUUUUAAAAGUCCUACAGGACAUGAAAGACAAUAAGUACAUCACAUGUAAAUAAGAUUAAGCAGCUCACCCUCUGCUUGCUUACUUGGCUCCAUGUCUCUACAGAAAGAAGAAGCCGAGCCAUGAAGAAGAUGGGGCCAAUCAGAACUGCUGGGAGUGUGUGUGUUUUGGGGGGGCUGGUGAGCAGCAUAGGAAAGGAACUGGGGAGAAAUGUCAGAUUAUGAAGGGAAAUUAAACAGCAUUACUUAUCCAUUCUUCCGCAUCCUGCUAAAGCAGGGGCCCGUUCCAGCCCAGCCCCCCUCCCCUGCCUCCCAGUGGGGGACCUGUCCCCCCAGCACUGUGAAGGCAGCCACUGCCUUUCAGACAAUGUGAAGCCAUAGCUGUUCCCUACCGAGAACACUUCACAAAUUUGAGGAACAGCCCUUAAAGUAUAGGUUUGGACAUUUCACAAAUUCCAAGGACAGUCUGAAGCAGGCCUCAACACGAGGGGCAGGGGAAACAGUUUUUACAAGCAGUUAACGCCCGGAGAGGCUCAGGGGUUCAGCCAAGGGGAAGACAAUGCUUCUUCCUUCAUGACAGCGCUUCCCAGACUUUCACGUGCCUGUGAUUCACUUGGCGUCUCAUCAAAGUGUAUUAGGUUGAGGGUGAGGCCCAGACUCUGCAUUUGUAAUAAGCUCCUGUGGACCACUGAGGCGCUCCAAGGACACCC